rnacentral:rRNA from 1 species
AUGAAAAUGCAUAUUCUUGGACAUAACCCCGCCGUUUGGGCUAUUGUGUGUAUUGGCUUGCAAGGUGAAUUCUUUGAUGGGAGAGAACCGAACCGUGAAGCUACCGCGGAAGAGUUGAAGAUGCUGCAAUACAACGCUCAAGCUUGUGAUAUCCUAUUCAACGGAUUGUGCCCCGAAGAAUUCAACAAAAUCAGCCGCCUUGAGAAUGCAAAGAAAAUUUGGGAUACUUUGAUUGAUAUGCACGAAGGUACCGACUCCGUCAAGGAAUCCAAAUUGGAUGUGCUUCAAAGUCAACUUGACAAGUUCAAAAUGAAGGAUGGUGAAGGUGUCGCUGAAAUGUACUCUAGGCUUGGUCUCAUCACAAAUGAGAUUGCCGGCUUAGGAAGUGAAGAGAUGACCGACAAAUUCAUUAACAAGAAGAUCCUAAGAGCCUUGGAUGGAAAAUAUGAUACCGUGUGCACAUUGAUCCAAAUGAUGCCCAACUACAAAGAUCUCAAGCCAACGGAAGUCAUUGGAAGAAUUAUUGCUCAUGAGAUGUCACUCAAGGAUAAAGAAGAGCUUCACAACAAGUCAAGUGGUGCUUACAAAGCCUCAUGUGAUGCUCCUACAUCAUCAAGUGAGAAACAAACCUUCAAUGAGGAAUUGAUCUUAAUGGUGAAAAACUUCAACAAGUUCUACAAGAGUAGAAGCAAGGAAAGAAGCUCCAAGUCAAGGUCCUACAAUGACAAAAGAUCUUCGAGUCGUGAACGUAAUUGCUACAAUUGUGGAAGACCCGGACACCAUUCCAAUGAGUGUACAACUCCUUACAAAAGGAAAGAAGAUUCACCCAAAAGGAGAAGUAGAAGAGAUGAAUCACCACCAAGAGAGAGGAGGAGUAGAGAUGAUCACUAUGAACGAAGAACCUCCAGGAGAAGCAAGGACUCGAAAAGAAAGGACAAAUCAUCAAAGAGCUACACAAAGCGAAGACAUCAAGCUCAUGUUGGUGAAUGGGUAUCCGGUUCCAACUCCGACCAUCACUCUGAGAGAAGCUAUCACUCUGACUCCGAAUAUACUCAAGAUGAAGGUGUUGCCGGUCUAGCACUUGUGUCAACCAACUCCUACGACAUAUUUGACUCACCAAAUGAAGGAAUUGGAAGAUGCUUCAUGGCUAAAGGCCCAAAGGUAUCACACCCCGAGUAUGUUGAUUUCAAUAGUGAUGAAGAUGACUUGUUAGUUGAUGACGAUUUACUUAUUAACAACUCUAGUGAUGAAUACUAUGAUGAAACGCCAAUUAAUUAUGCUAAUCAAGAUAAAACGAAUGACAAUGAUAAAGAGGAAAUUGAGCGUCUAACUAAAGAACUAAGCACUCUUAAGUUAGCUCAUGAAACUACCUUGGAAGGUCAUCGAGAACUUUUAAACACUCAUGAAAAGUUAUGCUUUGAAAAGCUCAACCUUGAGCAAGAGCAUGAGUUUUUAAAGGCAAUCAAUGAUGAUAUUCGCAAGAAAAGUUCUUCUUACAUUGCCAAGCGUUUACUCUUAUCUACUUACAUGCUUCAAGUAAAAUCUAGCAACAAAAGUAAGAAAGAUUCUUCUUCUAGUAGUAACAAUAAUCAUGCUAAAUCCAAUGUUGUUGCUUCUAGUAGUUCUCUUGAUUCCACUAAUGAUUCUCUUAGCCAAGUUACACUUGAGCAAGAAAAUAGUUUAUUGAAGGGAAUUAUAGAGAAGGGUGUCUACAAAAGUCUUGCUGGGAGUAAGCAAUUCAAAUAA